rnacentral:sRNA from 1 species
CCACUGAGGAGCUCCUGCACGACGUUGACACCACAUCGUAACCUGAGGCAAUUUGGGCCUUGAUCAUAGCUGAAUGAUCCUUCCUAGGGUCCAAUUAUUCCGGUCGAUGCUUUGUCUAUCCCCGCUGCAGCUUCCACAAACCACAAACCAAAAUGACAAACAACAAAAAAGAAACAAACAUCAUAUGGCGAAACGAACUGCGCUAUCGACGGUUCUCCGAUCGAUUGGAUAUGGUUUUGCAUAGUCUGCUUUGAGAUGUGUUAAGUUCAAAGGGAACGAAAUAUGAAACGAGAGAGAAAUGGGCUAAGGAGAUAAUUGCCACGACCUAGACGUUUGAAUUGUAAUUCUGCAUUGGAUAUUAAAAACACAAAUUCUAGGGGAGGAAAAAGAAAUCAAAAUAAAUAGGGAUCAACGUAUCGAUCGGUUCAAUUCGUCACAAAAAUCUCUAGCAAUCACGAAGCUCUUUGCCAUCCCCGGCUUUACAGAUUCACCGUAGAAUGAAGAGCUAAAUAAGAAAAUAUAUUCUGACGGCCCUCAAUCCUUCUCGCUAAUUGCCUGUAGUCGUUCAUCGAUCUCGUCCUCUGUAAGAGAGCGGAACUCUGUCUGCGUCCCUUCCUUGCCAUCAGCUCGAGGCCCACCAACGAUGCCCACCUCUAUCUCAGUCUUCUUGAAGUCUACACUGAGGACAGUGCUUAAAGUCGAUAUGGCAAGCUCAACGACGUCUUCCCAUGAUCCCUCCGCAUACUCCUUGUUUUUGAGCUUCUUCUCCAGAUGGUUGAAUAUAUCCUGUUGUUUGGGACCGGAAGCAGUGGCUCGAUAUCCCACGUAAUACCCUGCAGGAUCACACUUGUAUAGCUGUGGACCGAAUUCUGAAUCCACAGACACCAGUGUUAUCGCAACACCCAGUGGUCGCAUGUAUGCUCUUUGGGUGUAGACUUGGUUGAUAUUCGCCAGCCGUUUGGCGAGGACAUCACAUGGCAUCUCAUAUCCAAAUUUGUAUCGAAAUUCCGCCGCUUCGCUCUGUGCUCUGGUUACUGAUGCUCUAGCAUCCGCUAUCGAACCGGUCAUGACACAUCCAACUGAUGGAGAGAGUUGGAAAAUAUGGGUAACGGAUGAAGGAUCGAUCAGCUUGUCUGGGACUUUCUUCUGAGACAGUACAACAGCGCAGUUCUUUCCCUUGAUCCCGAGCGACGUGAUAUUGGCAGCGGUGAUAGAUUUGAAGGCAUAUUCGACUUGAUACAACCGGCCUUGAUCCGAAAAUAUGGUAAUGUGUCUAUCGUAGCCUGCGCUUCCUGACAUCGUGGCUCAAGGGACAAGAUUCAGAUCAAACCAAU